rnacentral:rRNA from 1 species
AUUGAACGCUGGCGGCAGGCCUAACACAUGCAAGUCGAACGAGUGGCGGACGGGUGAGUAAUGUCUGGGAAACUGCCUGAUGGAGGGGGAUAACUACUGGAAACGGUAGCUAAUACCGCAUACCAUCGGAUGUGCCCAGAUGGGAUUAGCUAGUAGGUGGGGUAACGGCUCACCUAGGCGACGAUCCCUAGCUGGUCUGAGAGGAUGACCAGUAACAAUGGAACGGAGACACGGUCCAGACUCCUACGGGAGUCAGAAGGGGGGAAUAUUGGACAAUGGGAGCAAGCCUGAUGCAGCCAUGCCGCGUGUAAGAAGAAGGCCUUCGGGUUGUAAAGUACUUUCAGCGGGGAGGCGUUACCCGCAGAAGAAGCACCGGCUAACUCCGUGCCAGCAGCCGCGGUAAUUC